GGGGCUGUAGCUUAGUGGUAGAGUUCUUGCUUAGUAUGCAGGAGGCCCUAGGUUCAAUCCCUAGCACUGCCA